GAUAAACGCUGGCGGCGUGCAUGAGACAUGCAAGUCGAACGGACGAUUGAGGCUUGCUUCGAUCGUUAGUGGCGGACGGCUGAGUAACGCGUAGGUGACCUGCCCCGAAGUGGGGAAUAACUGCCCGAAAGGGUGGCUAAUACCGCAUGUUCUGGUGUGUUCGAUCGCACCAGCAAAGCCGCAAGGCGCUUCGGGAGGGGCCUGCGUCCGAUUAGCUCGUUGGUGGGGUAAUGGCUUACCAAGGCGACGAUCGGUAGGGGGCGUGAGAGCGUGACCCCCCACACUGGCACUGACACACGGGCCAGACUCCUACGGGAGGCAG
rnacentral:rRNA from 1 species